rnacentral:rRNA from 1 species
GACGAACGCUGGCGGCGUGCCUAAUACAUGCAAGUUGAGCGAUGAAGAUUGGUGCUUGCACCAAUUUGAAGAGCAGCGAACGGGUGAGUAACGCGUGGGGAAUCUGCCUUUGAGCGGGGGACAACAUUUGGAAACGAAUGCUAAUACCGCAUAACAACUUUAAACAUAAGUUUUAAGUUUGAAAGAUGCAAUUGCAUCACUCAAAGAUGAUCCCGCGUUGUAUUAGCUAGUUGGUGAGGUAAAGGCUCACCAAGGCGAUGAUACAUAGCCGACCUGAGAGGGGGAUCGGCCACAAUGGGACUGAGAAACGGCCCAAAAUCCUACGGGAAGCAGCAGGAGGGAAUCUUCGGACAAGGACGGAAGGCUGAACGAGCAACGCCGCGUGAGGGAAGAAGGGUUUCGGAUUGUAAAACUCUGUUGGUAGGGAAGAAAGAUGGUGAGAGUGGAAAGCUCAUCAAGUGACGGUAACUAACCAGAAAGGGACGGCUAACUACGUG